GACAGAGGGUGCAAACGUUGCUCGGAAUUACUGGGCGUAAAGCGCGUGUAGGUGGAUUGGUGUGUCAGAUGUGAAAUCCCUGGGCUCAACCCAGGAACUGCACCUGAAACUACCAGUCUUGAGUGGUGGAGAGGGAAGUGGAAUUCCUGGUGUAGAGGUGAAAUUCGUAGAUAUCAGGAGGAACACCAGUGGCGAAGGCGGCUUCCUGGACACCAACUGACGCUGAGACGCGAAAGCGUGGGGAGCGAACCGG
rnacentral:rRNA from 1 species